rnacentral:rRNA from 1 species
UACGUAGGGCGCAAGCGUUGUCCGGAAUUAUUGGGCGUAAAGAGCUCGUAGGCGGUCUGUCGCGUCUGCUGUGAAAACCCGAGGCUCAACCUCGGGCCUGCAGUGGGUACGGGCAGACUAGAGUGCGGUAGGGGAGAAUGGAAUUCCUGGUGUAGCGGUGGAAUGCGCAGAUAUCAGGAGGAACACCGAUGGCGAAGGCAGGUCUCUGGGCCACUACUGACGCUGAGAAGCGAAAGCAUGGGGAGCGAACAGG